AGACUAAGCCAUGCAUGCCUUCGAAUACGAGGAAGCAAUUCUCUCUGAAUCUGCGAACGGCUCCGCAAACCAGUUGUAAACUAUGGCAGGCAAGCUCUCCCGGGCGCAAGCUCGGGGGGGCAACACGGAUAACCCUGGUAAUUCUGAGGCUAAUACAAGAUCGUAACCCCUGGCUAACCCGCAAGGGCAGGCUGGGGGACGUGUCAUCGGCGCGAAGAAACCAAGAAAGGGGGCACGUUCAGACCGCGCUACAAAGCACCCGGCCUACACCUGCUUGCAGGGAUAAACCGGGCGCCAGCGGCUCCUGCAAUGUGCUUCUGACCUAUCAACUAGACGGCAGCGUAACGGACAUGCCAUGGUUACAACGGGUACAGAGGAUUAGGGUUCGAUCCUGGAGAGUGGGCCUGAGAGAUUGCUCAUACUUCUAAGGAAGGCAGCAGGCGCGCAACGUUCCCCUUGGGCAAUGCCUGAGGGCGUUAGGGGACAUAUGAAUGCCUGCCAUAUGGUGGGCAAUUCAAAUGGGUCUGUUCUAAACAGCCUCUCGAGUAAUAAA
rnacentral:rRNA from 1 species